CUUGCGGAGGACUGGUCCACUUGUCGAAACGUUGGCUCCUGCUUUCGUCUUGUUCACGUUUUGCUCAUCA
rnacentral:lncRNA from 1 species